AUAAAAAGGAGGAGGUGGGGGGGUGGGGGGAAGAAACAGAUUCAGGGAAAAAGAGAAAGACGUCCGGAACACGAUUGAUUUUCUAUCGUGUUCCGGACGUCUUUCUCUUUUUCCCUGAAUCUGUUUCUUCCCCCCACCCCCCCACCUCCUCCUUUUUAUU
rnacentral:miRNA from 1 species